GAUGAACGCUGGCGGCGUGCCUAAUACAUGCAAGUCGAGCGAACAGACGAGGAGCUUGCUCCUCUGACGUUAGCGGCGGACGGGUGAGUAACACGUGGAUAACCUACCUAUAAGACUGGGAUAACUUCGGGAAACCGGAGCUAAUACCGGAUAAUAUAUUGAACCGCAUGGUUCAAUAGUGAAAGACGGUUUUGCUGUCACUUAUAGAUGGAUCCGCGCCGCAUUAGCUAGUUGGUAAGGUAACGGCUUACCAAGGCAACGAUGCGUAGCCGACCUGAGAGGGUGAGCGGCAACACUGGAACUGAGACACGGUCCAGACUCCUACGGGAGGCAGCAGUAGGGAAGCUUCCGCAAUGGGCGAAAGCCUGACGGAGCAACGCCGCGUGAGUGAUGAAGGUCUUCGGAUCGUAAAACUCUGUUAUUAGGGAAGAACAAAUGUGUAAGUAACUAUGCACGUCUUGACGGUACCUAAUCAGAAAGCCACGGCUAACUACGUG
rnacentral:rRNA from 1 species